UGAAGAGAUUGAUGAGCCUUCCUAAUCAGGCGGGCCAAAGCAUUGAUAUCCUGAAGAAGCACAAUGUUAUCAGAUCUCUUCUUAACAUUUUGCAGGUAACAAUCGAGCCUGUAUUUGAAUCUUGUGGCUUUGUAAGCGUAAACUGCAAUGUUGUUAGUUGUUUAUUGUUGUGAAGUUCUUUACUUAAUUUAUAAAUUCACUAUAAAAUUGUGGUUGUCUACUUAAAGAAAUGAUAUUUGUUAGGCGACCAAACUCACUUGCAUGUCAUUCCUUAAGAAGAUCAGUCUCCCAAAUGCUUUAGUUUGUUGCUAGCCAAGGCAAACAAAUUUAUGUAAUCUGCCCCGUGAGAGGGCGUGGUCUUUAUCAAGGAGUACACUACGAUGGCGAGCCGACGAUGAUGAAGGCGAGCGUCGGCUCAAUGCGGGGUUGUGGAGGGCGGUGACAGUAAUAAGAGUUGUCUGUAAUGCAUUUUUCAUGCCUAUCUGGUUGUAUCUCCGUAUGUCUUCUUUCCUGUGCUAUAAAUACAAGCAAAUGUGCUACACUCCCUUUGGACCAACCGUAAUGGGUGGUCCUCAUUAACUAUACAUUCAGUUUAAGUUGAUCUGAACUUACAAUUUCUCUAUUGCAACACAUGCCUAACGUCCUCAUGUGCACUAAGUACGAGAUGCUUCCUUUCCUAAAAAAAAUCAAUCUGUGAUGAACAUCGGCUCGUAUAAUUUAAUUAUUUUGGAGACCUAUCCAUGUGUUUAUCUGCUAAGCCUCCUAGAAAUAUGUUCAUGUCACAACAUGGACCAAACAAGCAAGUUGAAUGGGCAGCAGCAAAUGAGGCACCGCACCAUCACGCCUCAAGCGGCGCCACCAGGUGGCGCCCCAACCACUAGUUGAACAUAUAAUUGAACAUAUAAAGGAUGAAGAGGUUGUUAGGCACAACCACUAUGUCCACGUAGGCUAUGAAUAAUGCUCACCUUUUACCUCGCUGGCGUUUGGGUGGGCUGCAGCAAACGGGAUUGGGCAGCCCUUCUCUCUACCAUAAAAAAACAUCUCGUCUAUCCUCUUCCCCGUGACGCCGCCUGCUCUUCCGGCCGCCGGUCUCCUCGGCCUCCACCACCUCCUCCUCCCCUGCCUCUCCUUUUCCCCUGCCUCGGCACCCGAGUGGCACGGCCACAUCACACGGGCGCCCUCACCUUGCUGCAUCCUCUGCGCCGCCGUCAUAGCACCUCCACUCCCGCCUUUGGUUCCCCGCUGCAGCCUCCUGCCCGAUCGCUCGAGAGGGUCGUCAGCGUCGCUGCCGGCGGCGACUUCAGCAGCCGCCUCCUCUCUCCGAUUGGUUACUGCCACGACCUCGGAUCUCGCCAGCCGGCGGCGACUUCAGCGGCCGUAUCCUCUCUCCGAUUGGAGACUUCCACGACCUCGGAUCUCGCCGGCAGUCCCUCGGCUAUCACCGAGGCAGCCAUCAGCGGAGAUUGAGCCGACGCGCGUGCUCGUGCUCGUGGUGGUUUCCCAUAUCUCAGCAGCGCGGAGGAGCCCACAUCCUUGGCCAGAGUUGGGUGUACUUGCAGACGACCUUACUGUCACCAGCACAUCUGCAGUAUUGUAGGGAUGGACAUAUGGAUUGAGUGGUACCCUCGUGAAAGAUACGCAGCUCUCAGCAGCCCUUUUUAAUGUAAGCAGACCCUUGAGCACGAGAGCAACAUGACUGCUAGCUUCCCUCAGAGCAAUUCAAUGGAGCGAAUGUUGGAUGCAUAUUCAAAGGAUAGCCAAGGAGACUUGAUUCCCAUGUAACCUCUGACACAAAGUGCUCUCAAGUUGGCAUUCGGUUGUAACCCUUCGAACACGCCUUCAUGGUCACUGUUGGUGCAGUGUUUGAGAUAAUUCCACCAGAGACUAAAUUCCCACAGCAAGUGGAACAACAUGGAGCUUCAAUCGCGGAGCAGAGUCUUCUUUUCCAUAUUUUUGCAUCGGUUGGCCCAAAGCAUCAACUCGUCUGCAGCUGGGCAGUGUGGGGUAGACUUUGGGGAUCCUUGCAAUGGCGCUUCUCCGCUGGAUGGGUAUGCCUGGUUGAGGUCGAUUCUCUUGUCGUUCUCUCGUGCGUCCACCUUUGCAUCGUUCUGCAUUUGGCAUUGAGGAACCUGUCAUGCGGAGACCUUGCCUGUUGCCUCUUAUGCUAAGCUCUACAAGGCGAUGGAGCUGGAGAUGUUGAGUAUUUCCAGUCUCUUGAAGAACGAAUCAUUAAUAUGAAGGUGUUCAGCCCAUACUUUUCAGUUUGGCUGCUCCAUGAUUAAAGCUACUCCCUCUGUCCACUUUUAUAAGACGUUGAAGACAUUUCAGACAACGUGCAAAGCAGCCCAUUUUCAGUUGUUUGAAACGACUUAUAAAAGUGAACGGAGGGAGUAAUUGACCUAAAACACGUUUCAUGCAACAUUGGAACAGGUUGAUUCUUUAUUUGCUCACACAGUAAAUAGUGCCACCAGCCGCUAACUACAUUUUGUACAGAUUUUGCAGUAAUCUAUAUAUAUGUGUGGUCAUGUUUCACUGGCACCCUCAACUGUUCCAGUUAGUAUUUAGCAGGACGACAUCUUGACCAAUGACUCAAAUUAAUUUUCUCACUGAUCCAGUUUACUCAAGAAUUUGUGACCCAGCUCCAGGACAACUAUGGACUGACGUACGCUAGCUGCUUGCAUCUUUCAGAGGAUCUAAUUAGAGCCAACUAGAUGUGUGUUUUAUCCUCUUGGAACUAUUAAUAUUCACUUAGGGGAGAAGUGCAAGCAGAAGCUGAUUUCAAUUGGAAUAAGUGUGCUAGAAAGUGUGUCGGCAAAUAUUUGGUGCACUAUGAUCUAAAGGAACGUUGUAUAGGUUGUUAUAAAUCCACCAUAACCAGCUUAGUGAUUUACGGAUGACUUCCGCAAGCACACCAGAUGCCCGAGACCAGAACAAAUUAUCAUUUUCAGAUUGGUAGUUGUCCUCCUGAGAUUAUUGUGUGCAUUGCCAAUUGGUGGUGGUCUUUGUUUUUAAGCAGAGUGUUAUUGUGUAGAAAUUAGUAAUCUGAGCUACAAACUAAUUCUCAUACUCGACGACGACUCUAAUUUACUUUGGGACCCUGGUUUCCAUGUCUUGAUUUUAGGGAUGGAGUUUGAUUUAUCAUGAGUCAGUUCCAGGCAUGCAUGUUUUAUGGUGCUAAGCAUUAUAUAUCAUUGAAGAUUUGCCAUUUGUUCAACUUACUGAUAUGCUAAUCGGUAACCUUUAGUUAUUCAUAUAUAAAAAGUACCUUCUGCUGAGCAUAGUAUAUGAUAUCCAGAUUAUAUAUAUCCUUCCAUGAUCUCUUAUUUUUGACAAUUGCCAACGAUUCUGAUUAUUAAACAUCUAUAAACAUUAUGGCAUUGAAGAUUUUGUUCCCAGAUCAGUUGUAGCUACAAGAUAUUCUGAAAUAAAAUCUUGGUUUCAUGCAGAUUCAGAAAUAUAUGAUGUUUGUGGCUUUUUGUGGGCACAAUUUGCCAUCUGAAAUGUGUCACCUGUGCAUAAUUGGUUAAAAUUAACUCGUGCUAAACCAUUUACUAUUGAUUCAUGACAUUCUGUCACCAUUCGACAUCAGUUUUUUUUUUGCCACAAAUGGUAAUAAACUAAACUUUCUGAAAAGUUGUUGCUCACUCCAUAAUGUUGUGAUGUGUCUAUUGCUUUUGUGCUUUACUUGAGUAGUUAACCUUGGGUGGAUGAAACAGAUGUGUGGUAACUUAUGUAUUAUAACAGACACAAUGAGAGUGAUAUUCAUAGUCUUUAUAGUGUAAAAAGAGAAUGCAAUAUUCCUUGUGUGGCUGCAAUUUUCUUUUGAGAAGUUUCUAUAUAUUUUAAUUUUCCAGGACCCUGAAUUUUUCUUCUGAGAAAUUUCUAUGUAUCCUUAAAUAGUUGGAACCUUUGUAAAAAAUAUUAGUGUUCUCACUAUAAGCUCAUUUUAGAAGCUAAGAAUACUGUCUUUUAUGUAAUAUAUCAACAUUGUACUCUGUUGUUUAGUAUACAUUUCACCUAUAGGUCCACUUGCCACUAUUUUAUUUUCUGUCGGUUCCUGUAAUGUCUCAUGGAUAACUUGAAUUUCCUUAGUACAAAUAACUCAACUCUAUUGAUUCAAUUUCGCAUAUAUUUUGCCCAUAUGGUGCUUGGGAUUUGCAUCAUAGUCCAGGAGAUAAAUUAGUCAAUUUCAUAUGCUAUAGGUCAAGUCAAAAUAUUCAAAAGUAGGUCGUUGCAUCAAAUCGCAGGGAGAAGCAGACAAACUAGCAUGUAUGUAAUGUUUAUUUUGCUUUCUGUUGUGUUGUUUUGGUUGAUUGGUUCAGACUAAAAAACCUUGCAAUAUAGACAAGUUUCGACCGAUUAGUGCACUCCAUGUCAAGCUUUGUUUUCUUGUGCAAUUGACUAUGUCAAAAACCUCAAGAUUUUGGUGUCAUUUGUCAUGCUUUGUAUAUUUAAUGCUAUUCUUUGUUUCUUUAAUAAUGGCUCACCAUUUUUACUCAAAAGAGGAUUUCCCAUGAACAUUUUAGCACCGCUCUUAACUAUCGAUCAAAAAAAUGUUAUUCUGUGCAGGUUAGAUCUAGCACAUGCAUCGUCAGAAACUUGUGUUGAGGUCUCUUCCACCAUCGUCAGAAACUUGUGAACUGAUCUAGCACGUGCAUCGUCAGAAACUUUCCAAGAUUAUAGUCUCUUCCAGAAUUUCAAUUGUAAAAGCUUAAUUUAUUUGUGGAGCAGAGAAAGCGUAAGAAGGCAAGUGAGAUUCAUGACAUACAUCAUGAUCAACACUUGAGGAAAAUGGUCUGAACCAUAUUCUCUCGCAAAUAAAAUAUGAUGCAGAUCACCUUGACAAUGCAACUUGAAAAUCAAAGGACAUUAUACAAAAAACAAACAAUUAUUAUUGGGGAUUGGACGAUUGUAUGGAAGCCAUUUUUGCUUUUGCAAAUGACAGCCCACCAUGAAGAACUGCUUAGACGAUGAGGUCAUUUCUGAUACCAAUGGCACAUGCAAUAAUGACUCUACCUGAUGUAAAUGAUUUCAUGUCUUAGUUACCAUAAGUUGAGUGACCAAAGCUAUCUAUACGAUGCAUCCUUGCCUAUGUAUCUGUGAUUAUCAUGAACUCAUCUCAUGCCUUUCUUUUGACCUAUAAACCUACCAUGCAAUGUAAUAUAUAACAUUAUGUAUGAACAUCAUACCUAAAAAUCUAUUUCCUUAUGCUUCAAAUAUUUUAUGAUCGGGCUCUAAAUAUUCUUAUUUGCAUGGUUUGAAAGCAUGGUUCGCUCUCGCCCUUUGCGCCAUUGGCGCAACAGGUCAUCUAGUAUUACGAAAAGUAGAGCAUAUUUACAGUCACAUUUCUCCAUACGGUCUAGGAGAAAGAGCAUUCCGCGAACAAGUGAUCGUCAGCUUCUUCUUGGUGUCCGCAGAGCGCAUAUUUCAGAUUGCAAAGAAUAUGUUUUUUAGUCUUGUGAGAUGUCAGACACCAGCCACACACCACAAGCUAUGUAAAAAUCUUAGUUCGAAGAAGCCUCAUGGCCAUUUAGAUCAAAUAAACAUCCUUGCUAUGGACCUACUCCUCUAAUAAUGUGCAGAUCUUGCCAUGAAUACGCCUCCCUGUCAGGCACCAACAAGCUUCAUCUCCAUACAAGGUCCAGAAAGAAGCCCCGCCCCUCUCGAAGACAUUUUGUCAUGAUUCAUGGGCAUCGAUUGUUUCUGCUCAUACUGGCUCAAUGGCCCCGGUGGAUAUCUUGAUGCGGCCCACUUUGGAGAGGCAGGCCGAGCUGAUGUGCUCUGAGCUCCUUGAUGGAGAGCGUCAUGGAGCGAGCUGAGGCUGCACUGGGCGGGCUCUCCCUGACGCUGCCUGUGUUGCAGACUACUCAUGUGUUGCGCCCUUUGGUUGUGCCCGAUGGCAACUUCGACGCUGAGAAGGGAGACAAGCUUCAUGGUCGUUUCUCCCCUCGUGCUAGGGCCAGCUCACCGCCAUUAGCAUCUGAGGGACUUGACAAUGAUGUGGUUGUGACCCCGGUGCUACAGAUCAUGCCCGAGCUUCGGGAGUUGUGUGGGGGGCCGGUUUUGCCUUUGUGCGUCGACCAACUGCAGAUAGACCCUCCUGAGAUCUCGAGUGUGGCUUUGCCACCAACAUCACCCCUGGAGUCGAGCCAGAUUGUUGAUGCCGAGGAGAGUAGUGAUUUGGACGGUGCAAUCUCUCGCUCGCCCAAGUCCAUUGGGUGUCAGGCGUUAGCCAUCGAGCGUGGAGUUUCAAAUGUUGCUGCCCUUCCCUCAUCUACGACCAUCGAGCAAGUGAUGUCUAUGAGUGACAUGGCCAUUGAGCCAAGUGUGUUGGCACCUACUCCAAAUCCAAAUGCUCUAUUCGCAAAGAAACUUUGUGACUUGCUCGCUAGCGUGGAGGUUGCUAGACCUGGUUUGGGCAGGUCAAUUGCUUGCCUCCUGACGGGGAUGCCAAUAAGGGCCAAACAAAAGAAGAUGGGCAAAGGCAAGAGUGCGUCAUAGGCAAGGCGUCUCUGGUUGCUUGAUGGAUGAUCUUUGGUGUCUCGGCCUGUCCUCUUGGAUUGGGAGGUGCAUGAUGUCUUGCGUCGUGGUGUUCUUGUUGGGAUUCACUUGGCAUACUAGCAGUAUCAGGGUUUGUGGAUGUUGUGCAUUUGGAGAGUCUGGCAAGGGCCGACUGUGCGGUUGUGGGAUUUCUUGCCAUGUGAGUAGUUAGUCUGUGCUCUAUUUGUGUGGGUUUUCGCCCGGUUUUCCUUAAAUUAACCGGGCAAUUCUCUUCUUCUUAAUUAAUCGAUGAGGCAAAA